GUUUGCUUAGGCAGAACAUAUACUAAAAUUGGAACCAUACGAAGAAGAUUAGCAUGACCCCUGUGCAACAAUGACAUGCAAAUUUGUGAAGCAUUCCAUACUUAA